rnacentral:rRNA from 1 species
GAACUGGAUUACUCGAGAAUGAGAGAGGUCACUGGAAUUCCCUGUGUAGGAGUGAAAUCCGUAGAUAUAGGGAGGAACACCAAUGGCGUAGGCAGGUGACUGGCUCAUUUCUGACACUGAGGCACGAAAGCGUGGGGAGCGAACGGGAUUAGAUACCCCGGUAGUCCACGCCGUAAACGAUGGAUGCUAGCUGUUAGGAGUAUCGACCCUUCUAGUAGCGAAGCUAACGCGUUAAGCAUCCCGCCUGGGGAGUACGGUCGCAAGAUUAAAACUCAAAGGAAUUGACGGGGACCCGCACAAGUGGUGGAGCGUGUUCUUUAAUUCGAUGAUAAGCGAAGAACCUUACCAGGGCUUGACAUCCUUGGAAUUUCUCCGAAAGGAGAGAGUACUUUAUUGGACCAAGUGACAGGUGUUGCAUGGCCGUCGUCAGCUCGUGUCGUGAGAUGUUAGGUUAAGUCCUUCAACGAGCGCAACCCUUAUGUUUAGUUGGAUUUUUCUAAACAGACUGCCUCGGUAACGGGGAGGAAGGAGGGGAUGAUGUCAGGUCAUUAUUACCCUUACGUCCUGGGCUAGAAACGCGCUACAAUGGCCGGUACAAAGGGCAGCCAACCCGCGAGGGGGAGCAAAUCCCAUCAAAACCGGUCCCAGUUCGGAUUGCAGGCUGAAACUCGCCUGCAUGAAGCCGGAAUCACUAGUAAUCGUAGGUCAGCACACUACGGUGAAUACGUUCCCGGGUCUUGUACACACCGCCCGUCAAACCAUGGAAGUCACCAACACCCGAAGUUCUAACUUGUUUAGGCCUAAGGUGGGGGGGAUAACUGGGGUUAAGUCGUAACAAGGUAACC